GACGAACGCUGGCGGCGUGCUUAACACAUGCAAGUCGAACGGUGAUCUUGAGAGCUUGCUCUUGGGUGAUCAGUGGCGAACGGGUGAGUAACACGUGAGUAACCUGCCCCUGACUCUGGAAUAACUUCGGGAAACCGAAGCUAAUACCGGAUAUGACACAGAGCCGCAUGGUUUCUGUGUGGAAAGUUUUUUCGGUUGGGGAUGGACUCGCGGCCUAUCAGCUUGUUGGUGAGGUAAUGGCUCACCAAGGCGACGACGGGUAGCCGGCCUGAGAGGGCGACCGGCCACACUGGGACUGAGACACGGCCCAGACUCCUACGGGAGGAAGAAGUGGGGAAUAUUGCACAAUGGGCGAAAGCCUGAUGCAGCGACGCCGCGUGAGGGAUGAAGGCCUUCGGGUUGUAAACCUCUUUCAGUAGGGAAGAAGCGCAAGUGACGGUACCUACAGAAGAAGCACCGGCUAACUACGUGCCAGCCGCCGCGGUAACAC
rnacentral:rRNA from 1 species